ensembl:lincRNA
GCAGCAAAUCUUUAUUGCAUAUUGAUGAGGUAGACCCCGAGCCCUAGAAAGGCGCUGCUUAUAUACCUACCCCCUAGCGUGGUGUGUCCAUGCCUGACUGGUCGCUUACCCACGAUCUCAUUGACACGCCCCGGGGUGGGCUCUGACUUGGCGCGAACACUCUUGUACAUGCACACACAGCUUGUUCACUGACAAAGGCUGAGCUGGCACAGCGGAAUCUGGUGCCAUCUUGUGGCGGCGAAUGUUAUCGCGGCUCUCCACAUCUCCCCCUUUUUGUUUUAUUAAAACAAGGCUGGUCUAGGCCUCUGCAGUUACACCCAUCUGCUGUGGCUCCUGUUUUAGGUCGUUCCUCUAAUGUCACAGUCUUACCCAUCAUAGGGUAACCCUAUUGCCACCGGGCCCUGUGUCUUAGGUUGGUCUGUGCAUGAGGAAAGUUGCCCGUCUCUGGAUACCACAGUGCUGUGUGACAAUAACUGCUAGAUGGCCUAGGGUGAACUCUACAAGCGAGGCCAGCCAGGUUUUAAGGAAAAAUUUUAGCGGAGAAAUCAUGAUCACCCUGUUGCGUGCAAUGAAGAAACCUCAGUGAUGUGCAAGGGCUGAUAAUGAUCAUUGAGUCUCUCUCAUCCCAGUGCAAUGGAUCCGCAGAUCUGUGGGGUGCAAGAGCAGAGAACUCAGAUGCCAAUUAAGUCUUAAGCAUGGAUAGCCAAAUUUCAGGGGAGGCCCCUUGUUCAAUGGCCANNNNNNNNNNNNNNNNNNNNNNNNNNNNNNNNNNNNNUUGAGAUCUGAGCUUGCAGACCAACCAAAGCAUGAACACUAGGCCACAACAUAAGGCUGCGCCAAACAAAACAACUCCCACCCACUCUUUAAAAUAAGAAAAGGCUGAAGAAAUCCAGGAGGAGAGUCCCUCUGUUAGCGACAGGUCCACUUGAAUUGAUAGCCAACACUGCUGCCCUCAAGGACUCGAGAGUCUCGUCAAAUCCUUCUGACCAAUUUCCUGCAAGAUACAAUGACAAUCACCUAGACAAAUUUGCUGCUUGGGUAAAAAUUUCAUACUGCACACUGGUAAUGCAAAGCACCCCCAAUUUUCUUUCACAUCCCAAUUGGGCCAUUUGAAAGAGAAUAUCCAAUCUUUCCUCUACAAGAUCGAGGCGUUGGUUAGCAACCAUUAAUCCGCCCUUCAAGCCCUUCAACUGGGCACUAGCAGAGGUAUGAAGAUUAACAGCAUCUGCCACUGUGGAUGACAAUUGACUUAGGGCUGUGCCUGUUUGGACUGUGGUUGCCAUGGCAACCCCAGCAGCUGUUGCAGCAACCACACUAAUGGAGAUUGCCACCACAAUGGCUGUAAUCUCUCUUCUGCCGGACAAGACUCAUGAUUGGGAACUUCUCUGGAUCUGCCUCAACAGGCACAGGGACAAAGGUUGGUAAAUGUACCACUAAGGCUAAGAAAUUAGUUCCNNNNNNNNNNNNNNNNNNGACCCAU